UACGAAGGGAGCUAGCGUUGUUCGGAAUCACUGGGCGUAAAGCGCACGUAGGUGGAUUUGUCAGUCAGGGGUGAAAUCUCCGAGCUUAACUCGGAACGGUCAACUGAUACUGUCAUGCUAGAGUGCAGAAGGGGCAAUCGGAAUUCUUGGUGUAGCGGUGAAAUGCGUAGAUAUCAAGAGGAACACCUGAGGUGAAGACGGGUUGCUGGGCUGACACUGACGCUGAAGCACGAAAGCUAGGGUAGCAAACGGG
rnacentral:rRNA from 1 species